rnacentral:misc_RNA from 1 species
GAUGAAGAACGUAGCGAAAUGCGAUAAGUAAUGUGAAUUGCAGAAUUCAGUGAAUCAUCGAAUCUUUGAACGCACAUUGCGCCCAUUAGUAUUCUAGUGGGCAUGCCUGUUCGAGCGUCAUUACAACCCUUAAGCCUAGCUGCUUAGCGUUGGGAACUUAGCCUCCAAAGCUAAUUCCUUAAAGACAUUGGCAGAGUUGCGGCAUACUCUAAGCGUAGUAAUUUAUUCUCGCUUCUGAAGGUGUCGUGACGAUCGCCACAAACCGCUAUAUUUCUAGUGGUUGACCUCGGAUCAGGUAGGAAUACCCGCUGAACUUAAGCAUAUCAAUAAGCGGAGGA